ACUCAAAUGAAUUGACGGGGGCCCGCACAAGCGGUGGAGUAUGUGGUUUAAUUCGACGCAACGCGAAGAACCUUACCGGGGCUUGACAUGCACAGGACAGGCGUAGAGAUACGCCCUCCCUUCGGGGUCUGUGCACAGGUGCUGCAUGGCUGUCGUCAGCUCGUGUCGUGAGAUGUUGGGUUAAGUCCCGCAACGAGCGCAACCCUUGUCCUUAGUUGCCAUCAUUCAGUUGGGCACUCUAAGGAGACUGCCGGUGAUAAACCGGAGGAAGGUGGGGAUGACGUCAAGUCCUCAUGGCCCUUACGUCCCGGGCUACACACGUACUACAAUGGUCGGUACAAAGGGUCGCAAUGUCGCGAGACGGAGCCAAUCCCAAAAAGCCGAUCUCAGUUGGGAUCGUAGUCUGCAACUCGACUACGUGAACGCGGAAUCGCUAGUAAUCGCGGAUCAGCACGCCGCGGUGAAUACGUUCCCGGGCCUUGUACACACCGCCCGU
rnacentral:rRNA from 1 species